AGACCUGCUGCUGCCUGUAACAUAGUGU
rnacentral:misc_RNA from 1 species